rnacentral:lncRNA from 1 species
AUAUUAGUAUUUUAUAAAAUAUUUAUUCGAACAAAAAUUAGAUUGUAAAAUUUGAUUAUAACAAUUCAAAAAAUUCGAUAACUAAAAUCACAUAUCUUAUAAUUCGAAAUAAACUUAGUUGGAAAUGUGAAGCAACUAGGAUUCGAAUUUGGGAUCUUGAAUAUCAACCAUUAAGUUUUUUACCACUUGCACUAGAAACGGUCAAUUGAAUAGGUAUAGAGUUAUAGUUAUAGAUAUGUAUACUCCACAUAGUUUGAUUAUUUAAAGCAGUAG